CUUCAGCCUGGGAUAGAAUUGUUGCAGUUAAAACGCUCGUAGUUGGAUUUUUCAUUAUCUUAACAUAGGCAAAAUAUUGCACCUACGGGUGUUAUAUAGUGUUUAUGAGAUAAUGUAAGGAUUAUGUCGUAAGAUAUAAUAUUACUGUGAGUAAAAGAGUGCGCUUAAGGGCGGCUUUAAUGCUAAGAUCAUUUAGCAUGGGAUAAACAUAACGGACUUUGGUUUGUUAUGUGUUGGUUUUCGAGCCAAGUCAUGAUUGAUAAGGAUGGUUUGGGGAUGUUUGUACUUAUACUCGAGGGGUGAAAUCUUUUGACAGUAUAAAGACAAUCUUUAGCGAAAGCAUUCAUCAAUUCCAGUCNUUUUAA
rnacentral:rRNA from 1 species